rnacentral:rRNA from 1 species
CCUACGGGUGGCUGCAGUGAGGAAUAUUGGUCAAUGGGCUUACGCCUGAACCAGCCAAGCCGCGUGAGGGAAGACUGUCCUAUGGGUUGUAAACCUCUUUUGUCAGGGAGCAACGCCGGCUACGUGUAGCCGGACUGAGAGUACCUGAAGAAAAAGCAUCGGCUAACUCCGUGCCAGCAGCCGCGGUAAUACGGAGGAUGCGAGCGUUAUCCGGAUUUAUUGGGUUUAAAGGGUGCGUAGGCGGAAUAUCAAGUCAGCGGUAAAAAUUCGGGGCUCAACCCCGUCGUGCCGUUGAAACUGAUGUUCUUGAGUGGGCGAGAAGUAUGCGGAAUGCGUGGUGUAGCGGUGAAAUGCAUAGAUAUCACGCAGAACUCCGAUUGCGAAGGCAGCAUACCGGCGCCCAACUGACGCUGAAGCACGAAAGCGUGGGUAUCGAACAGGAUUAGAUACCCGGGUAGUC